GAGCCUGGGAGAAGGAGGUUGCAGUGAGGCAAGAUCAUGCCACUGCACUCCAGCCUGGCCGGCAGCACGAGACUGUCUCAAAAAAAAAAAAAAAGAAAGUCUUUAAUAUCUAGAAACAGAAGAAUGGAUAAAUAGUGGUAUUUACAAAUAAAUAUUUACAAAAAACAGUAUACAACAGGGGAUAUGAAUUAACUAGCAUAUACAUAUCAACACAGAUUAGCUGUAUAUUAUAUUUUUGCAUACGUUUUUUAAAAAGCAAAAGAAUAUUACAUAUUGCUAAGAAGAGAACACUCUUCAUCUUGCUCCUAACCAAAAGUGUUCCUCCUGGCUGGGCGCUGUGGCUCACGCCUGUUAUCCUAGCUCUUCAGGAGGCUGAGGUGGGCUGAUCGCUUGAGUCCAGGAGUUUGAGACCAGCCUGGGCAAUAUGGUGAAACCUCACCUUCACUAAAAAGACAAAACAUUAGCCAGGUAUGGUGGCAUGUGCCUGUACUCCCAGAUACUGGGGAGGCUGAGGUGGGAGGAUCACCUGAAUUUGGGAAGUCAAGGCUGCAGUGAGCAGAGAUUAUGCCACUGCACUCCAGCCUGGACGACAAGAGUGAGAUCCUGUCUCAAAAAACAAAACAAAACAAAAGUGUUCCUCUUACUCGUUUUUUUCCCCCAUUUAUAAUUGUUUCCUUAAAACAGGAUCUCACUCUGUCGCCCAGACUGGAGUGCAGUGGCACGAUCUCGGCUCACAUCAACCUCCACCUCCGAGGCUCAAGCGAUUCUCUUGCCUCAGCCUCCCGAGUAGCUGGGAUUACAGGCAUGCACCCCUACCACCUGGCUAAUUUUUAUAUUUUUAGUAGAGACAG
rnacentral:lncRNA from 1 species